GAUGAACGCUGGCUGUGUGCCUAAUACAUGCAUGUCGAGCGAAGCACUUUUGUGCUUAGCGGCGAAUGGGUGAGUAACACGUACUUAACCUACCCUCAAGAUUGGGACAACACUUGGAAACGAGUGCUAAUACCAAAUACGUAUUUUUAUCGCAUGAUAGAUAUAUAAAAGGAGCUUCGGCUUCACUAGAGGAUGGGAGUGCGCUACAUUAGUUAGUUGGUAGGGUAAUGGCCUACCAAGACUAUGAUGUAUAGCGGGGCCGAGAGGCUGAUCCGCCACACUGGGACUGAGAUACGGCCCAGACUCCUACGGGAGGCAGCAGUAGGGAAUUUUCCACAAUGAACGAAAGUUUGAUGGAGCGACACAGCGUGCAGGAUGAAGGUCUUCGGAUUGUAAACUGCUGUUAUAAGAGAAGAAAAACCCUGGUAGGUAAUGACCAGGACUUGACGGUACCUUAUCAGAAGGCGACGGCUAACUAUGUGCCAGCAGCCGCGGUAAUACAUAGGUCGCAAGCGUUAUCCGGAAUUAUUGGGCGUAAAGAGUUCGUAGGUGGUUUUGUAAGUCUGAAGUUAAAUACCGGGGCUCAACCCCGGCCCGCUUUGGAUACUGCAAAACUAGAGUAAUAGAGAGGUUAGUGGAACUCCAAGUGAAGCGGUGGAAUGCGUAGAUAUUUGGAAGAACACCAAUGGCGAAGGCAAUUAACUGGAUAUUAACUGACACUGAGGAACGAAAGCGUGGGUAGCAAACAGG
rnacentral:rRNA from 1 species